CUCGCCUCUUCAACUGCCGCUCUGAUUUCUUACCUAGAUACCAUGGUAGCCUUAACUGGACUCUGCUUAGCCCUGGCUCUCCUUUCAGUCUCCUCGACACACAGCCAGAUGAAGAAGAAUCCUUAAAAAUAGCAUAAAUGCCACCAAAUGACAUUCCACCUAGAUUUGAGCCCACUGCCGAGCGGGGGAGACAGACAGGAGCAGAUGGUGUGGCCGUGGGGCCUGCAAUGGGCCUCACUGAGACCUGAGCUGAGAGAAGGAAACAUCCUGGAGAAGCUGAGACUUCAAGGAGGAGUCGCUUUCCUGGUGAACCCUUGAGGGAGGACCUUCCAGGCAGAGAUUUAGAGACAGACUUCCAACAAGGAAAGCCAGGCCUCUGGCCAAGGACACCCCUGAGCACAGAGCAGAGAGGAGCAGAAACAGGACACUGAAGACAUCCAGGCCGCCCAGACCCACAGACUGCGCCCCGACCCUACCUCCCCUGCAGUUAGUGCAGGAGGAUGGGACAGAGCAAGGUCACCCAUCAGGAUGCUGUCUCUCUAGCGCCCUCUGCCGGGUUCUCAUGAGAAGACCCCCUUGACAGGAGGAGACAAGGAGUCGUUGCAAGGAGCCAGACAGACAGGUGGUGAAGGACAGUGCUGGACAGGUGUGAGACUGCUCUAUGAGGCCAUUCAUCUCAUAAAUAGUUGCUGAGUACCAACGACGUGCCGGGCGCUAUUCCAGUGCCGGGGAUAUGAACGGAUGAGACAAGGCCUUCCUGUGGAGCAAGCAUCCUGGGUGAUCGCAGAGAGAGAAUAAACAAAUACAUAGCGUCGGCAGUAAAAAGCGCUACACGUAGAGAAACAAAACAGAAUAAGAGAUAGGAAGUGAUGCAAAUAGGACUCAAAAUAGGGCACUCAGGGAAGGCCUUAUGAGGAAGUGACCUUUGGGCGAAGAUCUAAAUAAAGCGAGGGAGUGAAGUGUGCAGAUCUCGGAAGGAAGAAUUUUCGGGCAGAGGGGAAGCGAAGGCCAAGGCCCUGAGACGGGAAGAUCCAAGAGAGGCUUUCAAAGCUUACGGUGGAGGAGAAAUGGCUUGUUUGAGAUGAGGAAAGAGGCGGAACAAGGGAAGUAACUUGCCUGAGGUCACAUGGCUUGUCAGUGUCACAGGGCAAGAUUCCAUUCCAGGACUCCCGGAUUCCAGCAUCUCUGCUCCUAACCAGCCAAUCCUUGCUGUCUUCUCCUGCUGGCACGGACUCUGCUAAGAAACAGAAGGUUCAAGAUGGCGACACAGGAAGAUCCUGAACUCACCUCCCCCACAGACACACUGAAUCUACAGCUGCAUAUGGAGCAAUUUCCUCUCAAAAAAACCCUAAAAUCUAGUGGAAAGACUCCUUCGUAUUAGGGAAGUGAGAAAACAAAAAACAAAAAAACAUUGAUGCGAGUAGGAAAGGCUGAGAUAGUCUCACCAUAACCCGCCCUCCCCCCCAGCCACACACAGUGACCCAUAGCCCGAGUGAUCUUAAAACCCAGAGCUUCUCCCCGAGGAACGAAAGGUUUGUACUCCACAUCGGGCACCCCAGCUUUUAAGACCUGCACCUGAGAGAUGCGCCCCCAACACAUCCAGCUUUGAAAAGCAACAGGGCUUGGGCCCAAAAGACCCACAGGGCUGGAGAAACAUCGCUCAAAGGACUCGCUCACCCCGGGGGCCCAGUGCAGAAGCAGCCCUUGGAAAGUGCCCGACUUCCCGUGCUGGAGGUUCAUUCCUAGUUUUCAGGCCUCGGUCUCCAGGGCCCGGAGCUGGUGAGCGCCAUCUUCACCCUCUCCCUAGGCAUUGCUAGAGCCUGCGCCCCCCUCAUUUUUUUUUUUUUUUUUUUUUUUUUGACUCUAGAAGUUUUUCCCCGCAGCGGGCACCAUUUUCCUGCUCUGUCUUGCUAAAGCUGGUGGGCACCGGCUUUUCCUGUCUUUGCUUUUCUCGGCGAUGCCAUAUUUGCGCCCCGCCCCCGCCUCCCCCCAGCCACGCCAUCUUCCGCUCUCCUACUGCGCUCAAAGCGCCAUUGUCUCCUGGAAGGGAGUUUCUACAUGCGUCUGGUGUUCUGGAUUUUACCCGUGGUGACCCAGUUUUGGUGGCUACAGCCCAGGGGAAGUCCCUUGAUCGCCAGGCUCUGAAGGCCAGAGGGGCUUGCUUUCCUGGGUCCCAUGGGACUGUGACAAACGGAGAGACAGUUCUCAGCAGGCGACACCCCCAGGGCACUGCACAGAUAGAGGCUGAAACACCCCCCAUCUUUCUGGGAAAGAGGCCUAUGCGCAUGUCCAGGAGCUUUGGCCUGGGGGAGGCUUCUGGUCUGGCCCCUUCCAGGGACCUAGGGAGUGCUCUCUCAGGGAAUGGAGGGCGUGGACUCAGUCUGCGUUCUCUGCCUGGCUCCAGCUCACUGGUAUCUCAUACAGCUGCCACCCUCAAGGCACAGCAAGAGGCCACAGACCCAGGAACUCAGUCUUUCUGGGAAAGAGGGCUAUUACCUUAUCAUCGCAGCUGCUGCCUGAGGGUCUGGCUUCCAAUCAGCCUGAAUCUAGGUGCUGACUUCAAUCCUCCCCUUUGGGACACUGACCGGUCUUGGCACAC
rnacentral:lncRNA from 1 species